rnacentral:rRNA from 1 species
AAAUUGAAGAGUUUGAUCAUGGCUCAGAUUGAACGCUGGCGGCAGGCCUAACACAUGCAAGUCGAACGGUAACAGGAAGCAGCUUGCUGCUUUGCUGACGAGUGGCGGACGGGUGAGUAAUGUCUGGGAAGCUGCCUGAUGGAGGGGGAUAACUACUGGAAACGGUGGCUAAUACCGCAUAACGUCGCAAGACCAAAGAGGGGGACCUUCGGGCCUCUUGCCAUCAGAUGUGCCCAGAUGGGAUUAGCUUGUUGGUGAGGUAACGGCUCACCAAGGCGACGAUCCCUAGCUGGUCUGAGAGGAUGACCAGCCACACUGGAACUGAGACACGGUCCAGACUCCUACGGGAGGCAGCAGUGGGGAAUAUUGCACAAUGGGCGCAAGCCUGAUGCAGCCAUGCCGCGUGUAUGAAGAAGGCCUUCGGGUUGUAAAGUACUUUCAGCGGGGAGGAAGGUGUUGUGGUUAAUAACCGCAGCAAUUGACGUUACCCGCAGAAGAAGCACCGGCUAACUCCGUGCCAGCAGCCGCGGUAAUACGGAGGGUGCAAGCGUUAAUCGGAAUUACUGGGCGUAAAGCGCACGCAGGCGGUCUGUCAAGUCGGAUGUGAAAUCCCCGGGCUCAACCUGGGAACUGCAUUCGAAACUGGCAGGCUUGAGUCUUGUAGAGGGGGGUAGAAUUCCAGGUGUAGCGGUGAAAUGCGUAGAGAUCUGGAGGAAUACCGGUGGCGAAGGCGGCCCCCUGGACAAAGACUGACGCUCAGGUGCGAAAGCGUGGGGAGCAAACAGGAUUAGAUACCCUGGUAGUCCACGCCGUAAACGAUGUCUACUUGGAGGUUGUGCCCUUGAGGCGUGGCUUCCGGAGCUAACGCGUUAAGUAGACCGCCUGGGGAGUACGGCCGCAAGGUUAAAACUCAAAUGAAUUGACGGGGGCCCGCACAAGCGGUGGAGCAUGUGGUUUAAUUCGAUGCAACGCGAAGAACCUUACCUGGUCUUGACAUCCACGGAAGAAUUCAGAGAUGGAUUUGUGCCUUCGGGAACCGUGAGACAGGUGCUGCAUGGCUGUCGUCAGCUCGUGUUGUGAAAUGUUGGGUUAAGUCCCGCAACGAGCGCAACCCUUAUCCUUUGUUGCCAGCGGUUAGGCCGGGAACUCAAAGGAGACUGCCAGUGAUAAACUGGAGGAAGGUGGGGAUGACGUCAAGUCAUCAUGGCCCUUACGACCAGGGCUACACACGUGCUACAAUGGCGCAUACAAAGAGAAGCGACCUCGCGAGAGCAAGCGGACCUCAUAAAGUGCGUCGUAGUCCGGAUUGGAGUCUGCAACUCGACUCCAUGAAGUCGGAAUCGCUAGUAAUCGUGGAUCAGAAUGCCACGGUGAAUACGUUCCCGGGCCUUGUACACACCGCCCGUCACACCAUGGGAGUGGGUUGCAAAAGAAGUAGGUAGCUUAACCUUCGGGAGGGCGCUUACCACUUUGUGAUUCAUGACUGGGGUGAAGUCGUAACAAGGUAACCGUAGGGGAACCUGCGGUUGGAUCACCUCCUUA